CAUGAGGAUAAUAGGAAUGCAGAGGGAGAGGGGUCCCUCCUCCUGCCCUUAAGGAUUCCAGAGCUGUAUUCCAGAGCUGUAUUCCCCAGCUGGCCGACUGAACCCCCAUCCCAGUGAAAAGAGAUGGAUAACAGAAGGAAGUGAAAAAGUGAUGAACACCUGAGUGGCAGAAGUGCUAAAGCCAGCAACUCUGAAAAUCAGGCCUCCUCUUCUUGGGUGCCUCAAUAUAGAUUUGCUGUUGAUGUCUAACUUCAAGAAACCAGGUAUUCAUCUAUUCCACUGAAAUCCCUCCCUGGGCAAAACCAAAAUGAUUGCACAGGAUAAAACCAUCACUGGUAUGAGUGUCACACAGCUGUUUCCUGUGUCACUUACAGGAAAUAUGUCUUCAGCAUUCCUUCUGCUUAGGUGCACAAGAUUAUUCAUUUGUGAUACAAUUAAAGAAUGAUCAGACACAAAAUAUGAGUUUGCCAAAAGCACCUGGACUAUGUUUGCCAACAGCAAUCAGCAUCAUGUGCUUCGUAAUUGCCCCAGCUCAAGGUUGUUUGAAGUGACACAAAUGAUUCUAUGAUUGAUUAAUCCCAAUUUUAUAUCCUAACAUGCAAAUGUUCUAUAACUAAACCUUAUAUACGUGUGUUGUCCACUGACUUCAAUGAAACUACUCACAUGAAUAAGGAUUACACGUGUCAGUGAGUUUUGUAGGGCCAGUCUCCUCAUUAAGGGAUAUAUUCAAUCUUCAAACUUUCCUAGCAAAAAUCCUGUUUAUAUGAAUAAUGUCUCUGUUUGUUCACUGACAGACAGAAUAGACCACGUGACUAUUGUAUUAUAGAGAAUGUGUACUUUCUUUCACUAGCUGUAUUCUAUUUAUUGUGAUAUUGUAGCAGCCUAAUGAUAUACUUGUCAGUCCUUAAAACAUUUCACAUUAUUCAUUUGAUCAUGGAAAAAAAUGAAGAUGCCUUUCUCCCCUUAAACAUUAAUGCCUGAUGCGUUAACUUCUUCUUAAUAUAAUCUUGUUUGCAUAUAUAAAACUGAAGGGUUCAAUGAUAUCCAGCUGUCAAAUGCAAUUCCCCACCCCUUCUAGUGAAUUAUAUACUUGCUUUUGGUUGUUAGGCACAGAAUAGUACUGAAAAUAUUGGGCCACUGGAAAAAAAACUAUAAAGAAAAAUGGUGAUCAUAAAACAAAUAUCUAAAUUAAAUAACUGCACAGUGACUGUACUUGUGAAUGUCUCUUCUUUGGUUAUUCAGAAGCAUUGAUCUGAGCACUACAAAGUGUCUCCCUCCUUGAAUGUUAGCAAAUCUCUAAUUAAAUUAAUUCUCAGCUUCCUUGUAGUAUUAGUUUGGAAGGCUUGGUUGGUUGGUUUUGAUUUGUAAAGCAACCUACUUCACUUGGCAGAUUUCCUUCCACUCUAACAGAACAUCCAGCUUCCAAUGUGGAUUGCAUUUACCUUGCUGUUCUUUACAACACAAUGGCAGGGGCAGAGCCAGGAAGCUCAAAAGUUCUGGAAUACUG